rnacentral:rRNA from 1 species
CCACUUUCAACAACGGAUCUCUUGGUUCUGGCAUCGAUCAAGAACGCCGCGAAAUGCACACAAGUAGUCUAAAUUGCAGCAUUCAGUCAAUCAUCCAAUCUUUGCACCCACAUAGCCCCCUUUGCUAUUCCAGAUGCCAUCCUUAUCCGAGCCAGAUCC